rnacentral:lncRNA from 1 species
GUGGGUGAAAGACCCGAGCUAACAUGGGGUUAGCUCGUUAAAUUACAAUAAAGCCUCGUGCAGUUUGCAGCAAGCUCUCGAAUCCGCCUGGUGAUUGGGGUGACCGCGAACCUGGCCUGAGACCCCGGAUACUUGAGUUUUCGGGGGUCUAACAUUUUGGGGGCUCGUCCGCGAUUUGCGACCACCCUUCACCUGAGUGGAUUCGAUCUUGGAGCACAUGGCACGGGAAAGGAGUUCUGCCAUGUGUCACGGGUUAGAAUGUGUUAUGUUGGAGUCCCCCGAUGCUGCUUUUCUGAACUCGAACCACUGCUGCAGCCCUUACAGCUGAGCCUGGCCCAUGUAGUUUAAACAUGUCUUAAACAGGUUUCUGCUUCUGACAGACAUCUGAGUAUCAGUACUCACUACAGGCUGUUCUAAGUAGACUGCGAGCCCUAGACUUGCUAUGGAUGUGAACCAGUUCAGCUGAUAUGGACACCCCCUGUCUCUGCAACAGUGUCUGCUAACCAGAAGCCCCUAAUAAAUUCCCCAUUGCCUAAAUUCCUUUUUGCUUUUGACUAGCAUUUCAACCUUCUGGGGUCCCUAACUUCGUCCCAAAGUCAGCAGGAAGCAGUUUGGAAAAGAAUUUCGCCGUCCAUUUUCCCUGGUUAAAAUGCUAAGUCAAAAGGAACUCCCUUGCAUGGGGAUGACAGUAUCUAUCACUCCCUGAUGGGGAUGCUAGAGAGACAGCAAUUCCAUGAUUGGAAUUUCCAGAAAAGAAAAUGGGGGAAUGAAGGAACCAGCUCCCUUUUGGCAGCCAUUACAGCCGAACACAUGCUUGCCAUAAACCUGCCUUGGUCACGUAGAGGUCAGAUGCCUGUCUCGUGACAAGGAACCCAUCAGAAGUUAGUCACUAGAAAGUCAGGUGCCUGUCUUGUGACAAGGAACCAAUCAGAAGUUAGCUGGUGGUGCUAUGCUUUAUGGCUCUGGGUGUGCUUUACGGACAAGCGCACAGCAAUGACGUAGAGAGCAUAGCAACCACCCUGGGAG